GAAUUGCAGAAUUCAGUGAAUCAUCGAAUCUUUGAACGCACCUUGCGCCCUUUGGCCAUUCCGAAGGGCAUGCCUGUUUGAGUAUC
rnacentral:rRNA from 1 species